rnacentral:lncRNA from 1 species
AAGUGUGGAUAUAGGUCAAAAAAAAAAAAGAAAGAAAAGGAAGGAAACGAGGAAGAAGGAGGGAGCUUGGAGCUUCCUUUAAUGGCAGAUGGGAGAGGAGCUCGUCUGAGGUACGGUGGUGAUAGCCAGAGAAGUAGCUGACAGCAGCGAGCACGACAGCGGCACUCGCGAUGGCUUGUUUUAAAAAAAGAAAGAAAGAGGAAUCAAAGCUUCUCACCGCUGUUCAUGGCAUUCCGAUGAUGCCAGCCACUGAUCUCGAUGGCGGUCAUCUCGUUUGAGAACGGGCUUUCACAUGGCACAACAGUAGUGGCAUUGGUGACCGGAGGAGAGAGAUCCGAUGAAGGAAAGGUUUGUGUAGGCAGUUCAGUUUUUGGGCUUUUCUGGCUAUCUCCGGCGAGGUUAGGUGGAUCAGAAGACACAUUUAGACUCCCUUUGUCGCAAACUUUCUGAUGGCACCGAUUUUGCUUCGAUCAGACUCCAUUGGAAAAUCAACAGUUGAGAAUUGACUGGGAUGUUUGGGAUAAUUGACGGCUACAUCGAACAAUCGAAGGCUGGAUUCUUUUUCUAUGCAUUAUUUCGAGUCCAUAAACGUAGUCGGAUGGUCAAUCGGACUCCGGCGGCUAAAGGCGAGACGACCGAUUUAUAAGUGUUUAGGUAAUUCUUUAAUCUGUUGAUUUUAGAAAUUAUUAAUUAAAAGUUAUAUUAGUUAUUUAUUGGAGAAAAAUGAUUUAAGGUAUAUGUGUAAGUAUCUUUGAAAAUUGAAAAUAUGUGCUAUCGAAAUUGAGCAAAAUUGAG